CCUACGGGCGGCAGCAGUGGGGGAUAUUGCACAAUGGGGGAACCCUGAUGCAGCGACGCCGCGUGUGGGAAGACGGUCCUCUGGAUUGUAAACCACUGUCCCCAGGGACGUAAAUGACGGGACCUGGGGAGGAAGCUCCGGCUAACUACGUGCCAGCAGCCCGGGUUAUACGUAGGGAGCGUGCGUUGUCCGGAAUUACUGGGUGAAAAGGGAGCGUAGGCGGGGAUGCAAGUUGGGUGUCAAAACUACCGGGUCAACUGGUAGUCGCACUCAAAACUGCAGCUCUUGAGUGAAGUAGAGGCGGGCGGAAUUCCUAGUGUAGCGGUGAAAUGCGUAGAUAUUAGGAGGAACACCAGUGGCGAAGGCGGCCUGCUGGGCUUUUACUGACGCUGAGGCUCGAAAGUGUGGGGAGCAAACAGGAUUAGAUACCCUAGUAGUC
rnacentral:rRNA from 1 species